GGUCCUGGUGGGGCUGCGCGUGCCAGGGGGCCUGGGGCCUGCCCGCCGUGGUCGUGCAGUCUUCAGACCCCAGGGUUUCAGAAGCAGCCGAUCCCGUCCUCAGAGGGGAGGCGCCAGGGCAGAACGUCUGGCUUCUCGGAAGGGGUCCUGGGGCCCCGAUGGCUGAGGGGGGCCCUGCGCACCCCCGCCUCCACGCCCCCCAGCGCAAGGGUUCUGGCUUGGAGCGCACGGGGCCCACCUGCCCACCUGCGGCCUCGCCAGCACUCCUGUCAGACCCCCGCACCUCCCCGUCCUCCCAUCGGGGCUGGCCGGAGGGGUCGCUCCCGUGCGUGGUGUUCCUCUGCACCGGGGCCUGCGGCUACUGUCCCUCCUGGUUCAGCGUGAUGGCUCGGGACCCGGGGCCCCCCGUCCCCCUUCCACCUCCCGCCCUCCCACGGGACACCUGGCCGGGGCCGGGCUGGGGCGCUGGCGAGGGUCCCUCGUAGCCAGACCCGCCCGGCCACAGGAGAGAGCAUGCGGGCGGGGGAGCUUGACCCACCGUGCUCUCCAGCCCCCGGGGUCCCUCCCCACUGCCACCCUCGGCCCCCCAAGCCCCCAGUGUCACGUGGGCAGGGCUGGUCCACCCAGGCGGCAUCGGGGACCUGACCACAGACCCAGCCACGGACAGCUCCUGAGAACCCUCAUCGCCUGCAGGGGGUGCCCCCGCUGCCCGUCACCACCCACGUGGAGUCGGACCGCGACACCAGCUCAAAGAACGGGUAGAAUCCUGGUGACCUGUCCCUGGCCCCCUGAGACUAGGGGUGAGGGCGAGGCAGAAGUGGUCACAGCACGGACGGCGGGGCAGCCUGAGUUUCGGACUUUGGGAGUGAAAACACGCAGCCUGGAGGCCUCCGGAACCCCUCGUAGCCGACCUUAAUUCUGUCCCACUUAGGGCAGGACCCCGACACCCCAGAAACAGGCCUGGUGGCAGUGAAGGUGCUCUGUGGACGGGCCCGGGCCCUAGGACCAGCCCCCAGUCUUCGUCAGGUCCCACGUUCUCGGCAUCAAGUGAAGAGUGACUUCCCGAGGACCAAGGGCCACGAGCAAGGCUGGGCCCCACUUCCCAGCUGCUCCCGGAGGAGGCGGCGGCUUCUCAGCACCUGCCCGGCCGGGAAACGCAGCCCGGCAGGAACACAACGCCUGCUCCCUUCUGACGGUAAAAGAGACGUCCCUCUGCCUCAGGUGCCCGCAGACGCCAGGGUGGCCGGAUGGGGUGGGAAGUGCCGCCACGUGUGCUGGGAAAGAGGCGCAGCUCCGGGUCUGGGAAGCCGUGAGUGUUGUGCGCUGGGGAGACGGCCAGGGCCUGCGGCUGCAGAGACGAGGGCGGCCGAGGGGGGCCGGGGGCAGGCCUCUGGCCACAGGGGCCGGAUGCUCUCGCCCAGGCUGCAGGUUUGGAAGGAGACUCGGUGCAAACUGGACUAACGUAUAUAUGGCUUUUUAUCAAUGCUGGGGGCACGAGGUGAGCAGGGAAUGAGCACAAGUGACCGCGGGGCAGAACCCGGCCCAUGUCCUCCGCCACCGUUCGGAGUGGCCGCCCUGCUCCUCGGGAUUCAGAGGAAGUCCCUAGGAAUGCUAGGAGGGGCCUCCCCGCGGGGCCCCUGGGAAAGCUCGGCCAGCUGUCCACUGCCCUCCCCUUCUUACCUGGACCUCAGGGGAACUAAGGACCUGUAAACCUUCCUUUUCAAGCCCUCUGGCUCUGGACAGAUACCGUGUCUUCAGACAGCGCUGCUCCACUUUGAUUACGGGAGAAGCACAGGCGGGAGGGGAAGAGAUGCCAGUGACUGUUGUCUCCCGUCCUAGAAAGGGAGCCGGCCUCUGGGUCUCCCACCGCAAGGGCGAAGGUCCGGCAGUUUCAUUUUGGCCUUUCUGGGAAACGGGUCUUCUGUUUCUUUGCGGUUUGACCUCACCCGUCAGCAAGGUGAGGUCGCGGGACUGACAGUCCCCGUUCGAGUCCAGCCAAGCUAGCCUGUAGCUCAGGUCUGUGGUGUCCCGGGAAGCCCCCGGCAGCAGGAGGAGGCCCACGCCGGCAUCGGGGUUUGGUCCCGGCUCCGCACAAGCCGGUCUCCCCGUCUCGCCUCCCGGCCACUGGCACGCAGUGUCCGAGCAGGGUUCCCAGGCCUCUGCUCCCACACGGCACCCGCCCACGGCCCUCCGCGAGCACAGAGGGCGCACACACGCGCACGGGUCGCCGGCCGCUGGUUGCUUCCGUCGGGAAUCGGGAGGUGCUGCCAUUCCGUUGGUCCGGAACGCUCAGAAAACCGAAAAUGCCGCCAAGAGAGCCUCCCUCGGGGCGAGGCCUGGGUGGAGCUUUGGAGGAGGAGGGUGGUGGGCGUGCAGCGGGGGAGCCCCGGGCUUCUCUCACCUCCGAGGGGCCUCCUCAGCCGCGUCGGAGGGAGGGGGUCUGCAGAAGGAGGGCGAGGGCGGAGAGCGAGGGCAGGACCGCGCCCAGGUGGGCAGGGCCGCCCGAGGGCUGUCCCGCUGAGGUAGCGGCGGCUGGAGCGCGGCUGCGCGGGCCGCCGCCCCUACUUGUUCUUGCCCAGCAGCGCGUCCACCUCCUCCUCGGGCUUGAGCGAGUGCCACUGGGCGAUGGGCCGGCGGGGGUUGGCCAGCAUGUCGGACCAGUGCCGCAGCUCCGUGCCCGUGGCGUUGCUGCCCAUGAAGAUCUUGCCGAUGGCCUCGUUCUUGCCCAGCUUGUCGUAGUCCAGCACGGUGACCACCACCUGGACUCUCUGCAGGAGGCGGGGAGGAGGGGGAGUGGGCAGGAGAAGGGGGCCGGCGACCCAGCCCCCUCCCAGCCCCUCCCUCCCCAGCCCCAACCGAGAGCGCCACACGGAGGCGGGCCCGCGCCUUUGACGCAUCCUUCGCUUCCGCCAACGACUGAACACAGGCCCCCGGCAGCGUGCUGAGCGCCUGGGAGCGGAAGAGCAGGCGCAUCCCCGCAAGGCGACAAAGCCCAGCACCUGGAUCUGCUCGAAGGGGAUCUCGAAGCUGAAGGACUCGUUGAAGUACGGGUUCAGGGUCUUCUUCUUCACGGUCGUCUUCUUCUUCUUGAGCCUCUUGCCGUUCUGCAUCAGGUGGAUCUUCACGUAGGGAUCUGUGGGGAGGCAGCCGGCCAGGCCCUGAGCACGCGCCCGGCCCGCCAGCCCAGGGACAGCAGAGCCAGCUUCCGGGCCAGGGCGGCCAGAGGCUUCACCUCCGGGACCCGCCAUGGCUGUGGCCGCCUGGAGCUCUGCUGGGACGGACCUGCGCCGGCGCUCGGUGAGGAUCCACUUGGUGAUGUCCUUCCUGGGCAGGGGCACGUCAGCGACCCACCCCCUCCCAUCCUCCCGACCUUGUCGAUGAGCCACGAGGCCCAGAGAAGGGAACACAUCUGCCUGAGGUCACACGGGGGCUCAGGGACGGAGCUGGGCUGGCGGGAACCUGAGCACUACAGGAAGGCAGGGCAGUCGCCCCCCCAGCCCCGCCCGGAGCCCCUUCCAAGGCAGAGCCGCCCCCAUCUCCCCCUGUAGAAGGUCCCGGGCGCGGACGGAGGGCCUGCGUCGGGCCAAGCCCUCCCACCGCCUGCCCUUCCCUGUCCCUGCCUCACAUGGGGGUGACGUCCCUGACCCCUUCCCUCCAGGGCCCACAGGGAGAGCAGCGAAAAGGCAGCUCUCAGCGGGGCUCCCGCCCCGUCUUACCCUGAGGACCCAAAGCCGCUCAGACAGCCUGUGUGUCCCGCGUGUCUGAGGCCUGCUGUCCAGGUCGAAGGCUCUGGGCCGCGACCGGCUCGCAGGUGCCCCCCGAUGGCAGCCAGAAGCCAUGCACACACCUGAAAGGCCACCCACGUCCAUCUUCUUGAGGUUCUUGGCCUCCAGGAUGCAGACGGUGAGCUUCCCAGCCGUGGGCACAUAGCGCAACGAGGUGCAGAUGUCACCCAGCUUCUCCGGCUGUCAGGGGAAGGGGACGCGGUCAGCACAGCAGCGCCUGUGUCCAGCACGGCUGACCCCCUCGGGGCCUCAGGCCAGGGUCAGCACAGCCCUGGCCGCGACGGGUGGACACUGCAGAGCCGAGAACAGGCUGCUGGCGGCGUGGUGCCGAGGAGGCUCUGGACGGGCGUGGGGUUUGUUGGGGCCCCUCCCCAGCCUGAGCAGACAGCGGAGGGGGACGAGGAGCAGACGUGGUACCCGAGGGCCAUUUCCAAGGGCACUGGGAGCCCCCCUUCCUGAUCACAGCCGUCCCACCCACAGAGUGAGCUGUAGCCUUCAAAGCCCUUGGCAUCCCUUUCCUUGUGUUAGUGUCACAGGGCAAGGACCUUGUGACUAGUAAGAGAGGGGAACGAUUUGGCAUUGGGGCUCCUGGGCCUGAGAGCUCAGCCAACGCCACGGCACAGUCAAAGCUUCUCAGAGGUGGGCCUCGGGGCCCAGGCUGACCACCCCACCCACACCCCAGUUGGGGUGCUGACCCUUCCUCCGCGCGACCUGAGCCCCGAGGUGAGGAAGGACACGCCUCACAUACAGGGACUCAGCCAACACACUCGGCUGGUGCUUGGAAAGGAUGGUGGCUAAAUGGAGGCUUUGGUACACAGUAGGUGCUCAGUAAAUAUUUGGUGAGUGAGUGAGUGCUGUAGCAGUUUCUAGGAAGACAAGCCCCCCUUGCUGAGAAUUCUCUAGAACAAUGUGGGCUUUCCCUGUGGGUGAAUGAGGUCCCCACGUGGGUCACUGGCCCUAAGUGGGCCCAGAGCUGCGGGAGAAACAAGAGUGACGUGUCCUGUCCACCUGAGGUGCCCCGCCGGGUGGCUGAUCCUCAUCUGCAGAGACAAAGCCGGGGGUGUGGGGCGGACCCUCCAAGCUCUCCCGCCCUCACCUCCUCCUUCUCUCCGCCCUGCAGGUCCCUCCACUCCUCGAUGGGCUGCCCCAGGUCCACGGUGUUCAUGGGCACCUUCACCUCCCCGAUGAUGUCGUGUUUGGAGAAGCGGUCAAAG